rnacentral:misc_RNA from 1 species
GGCUGACAUUGGAAGACAUUGUCAAAAUGCUUUGUACUUAGGAGGUUUUCUUUAUGCUUUCAUGAUUAGAAUUUACAAGCAGCACAUGCACAGAUGCGCUUGAUUUAGCAAACGGCACUAUCCCAACUUUUUUCAAUAAAAUUUGGCUUACUGGUGUAAGUGUGGACCACAAUAAAUCUAUUACUGUCAGCUACAUAAUUACUCCUAUCUUGC